rnacentral:lncRNA from 1 species
GGAAACGGAAAUACAUAUCCUAAUUAGGAACUACAUAGGAUUAUCUACACCUACAAAUCUAUCCUUGGGGAUAAUGGCACCUCUUGGUACAAGGUAUUCACACCAUUUCGUCCCAACCAAACUCUGAUACCAUGUAGAUUUAAGAGAAUAGACUGCUCUUAUUAUUAUGAUAGCCCGUAGGCAAUAGGGUAUAUAUACACAAGUCUCCAUAUGAGACUUACCUACUCUAAAAAUCUUAUUAGGAGAUAGUUACCUAAUAAUAUAUAUACUAUAGUUAAUACAAUUACUAUAGGGAAACGGAAAUACAUAUCCUAAUUAGGAACUACGUACAUAUACACAUGUCUCCAUAUAAGACUGACCUACUCUAGGAAUCCUAUUAGGAGAUAGUUACCUAAUAAUAUAUACUAUAGUUAAUACAGUUACUAUAGGGAAACGGAAAUACAUAUCCUAAUUAGGAACUACAUAGAAUUAUCUACACUAUAUAAAGGUGGCAAUAGUGUGGUAGAAUACAUACAGAAAACAGACAUCUAUCCUAGCCUACGAUUCUAAAGUGACUCUAAUAUCUAAAGUCUAAGAACUUGAGUGGAGACGGUUUUAUCCUCGGAAGGAAUUUCCCGAUACCCAAAGCUUGUAAGGGUGGAAAUACUCUUUUCGGAAAGUGGUACCCACGAUUCCGUAUUGAUCCUAGAUUUCAUCACCUAUCAAAACUCGAAGCAUUGCUACUUGGAACCUCCUAAGCUAACAGAAACUAGUCCAAAUGUGGAAACCAUAACCAAUCAGUGAGCCAAAUUUUAUCAGCCAAACGGUACAACAACCAGUACCAUAACAACCAGGAAUUCUAGUCUAGCCAAGCCGCAAGACAUUAAACCAAAACAUUAAACCAAAACGGUACCCAAAAUAUUGAAGGGCCAAUGGAUCAGAGUAAACCUGGAGCUUAAUCACAACAUAGGUGGCAAUUGGGUUAUUCAUCUUAGAGCUUUCAAUCCUUCACUUCAAUAACAAUGUUUUGCAUGUGUUGGAUCUGGCUCACCAAUAGGCAACCUGUAUAUGCAUAGAAAUGGUGGCAUGUCGUGUAUUAGCUUCUCCUCACUAAAACUGUAGAUUGUGAAGUAGGGAUCAAACUUCAUAUAGUGGUACAUUGGAUUCCAUGACUAACCAACUAUGUAAACUAACUGAACUGGAAAGAGGAUUCCAAAGAGAGGAUGUAGGUGAAGAAGAAGGCAAACAACUGUUCUACUCCACCUUAUAAUCCUAAGACAUAAAUAAGAAAUCAUAGAGAAACGGAAUCUGGCCAUGGGCGGAGCUUAUGAAUCCUGGAAAUCAGGCAGGGAAGAUAUGGGAUCGAUAAUGAGGGGGGGGUCUACGGAGGAGAGGUUGCAUAUAUCCCUGAAUUUGAUGAAGACUGAGAGAGAGGGGAGUGAGCAAAAAUUCAGACGCAAAAACAAACUCUACACAAUCCC